CGGGGAGCACCCACUGGUGGCUCUAACUUUCCCCAGGUGGGAGCCUUGUUUCCCCAGCUGAGCCACCAGCUGGUUAGUGCCCAGGCUGGGCCUCCGUCUACUGCCUCCCCCGGCAGGCCAUCCUCACUCCCUUGCUGAGACUGAAGAAGGGAGAGGCACAGGCAGAGCACUGGAUGGUUUAUGCAACCAUCACAGUCGGGACUCCACUGGUACCUCAUGAGGUAAGCAGCACCAACACUAUUCGCUCUUUUGGUGGUUGUGGGAGUACCGGGGAUUGAACCUAGAGUUUUUACACAAAGCUACAUCCCUAGCCCUUUAAAAAUUUUUAUUUUGAGAUACUUCUUGCUAAGUUGCCCAGAAUGGGCUCAAACUUGUGAUCCUCCUGCCUCAGCCUCUCCAGUAGCUGAGAUUACAGAAGAGUGCCAUCACGGCCAGUUCAUUUGCUAGGAGCCAGGACCACAAGCUGGGUCACACAGAGACAGAAGAACCAAACUCCAUGGCAGCGCUGCAGGGCGGGGAGCUCCAGGCACCAAGAAUAUCUGCAGACAGAGAGAGCCAGCCAAUCUUCAGUGGCAGCAGGGGAUGGGCAGGGGCUGGAGGAGCCCAAGAAGCAGGUGAGGCCCAAACCACUUUACCCUGCUGCAUGCCAGGCUGGCAUGGCUCCUGGCCUGUCCCCUACUGCCUGCCAGGGUUAGGGAGGGAGAAGCACAUCCUCUGGAUGGAUCCAUCCCCUUGCCUCACCCCACCAGAGGCUACUGGGCUGUCUCCUCCCCCAGCCCACGGAGGAGAGCUCAAAUCCCAGCCCCUGCCUGAGCCUCAAGGCCUCUCAGUCUGUACCCCCAGGCCGCCUCUCUACCUGCCAGGCCCAGCAACAAGGCAGAGCUGCAGGCAGGUGCAGAAGGCCUUCUUGGGACAAGAGGCCUUCCCACCUCUCCAACCUUGACCAUACCCCCCAGGGACUGGGGAAGGGAACCAACCCUGACUGAGUGGCAACUGUGUGCUGAGCACUUGAUGGAUGGCAACUUCCAGAAGCCUUGAGUGCUGUGUGGUCCAACAUGGUGGUCACAAACCAUGUGUAGCUGUAUAAUUGAAAUGAGAAGUUCUGUUCCUUUCCUGCACUAACCAUGUUUCCAGUAGUCCAUAGCUGCCAUAUUGGACAGUGCAGAGAACAUUUCUAUCACCACAGGGAUGCUCUUGAGGAAGGUGGAUAAAUGGGAAAACUAAGCACAAAGCCCAGGUUCUUUCUGCUUGGCACCAAAGUAUCCCCCAGCGAGCUUAGUGGAUGGGCUGGGGUCCUUAUCUGGUGUUCCAUGGUUGUACCUGGUGGAGGGCAGGGGCAUAUCUGGUGUUCUGCAGUUGGUAGGACUGAGCCUAGGGCACAAAGGGUAGCACAGAUGGCUCACUCUCCCUUCACCCAGGCCUCACCAAGGUGCCUCAUACAUAUGUGAGAUUCUGGAGGCCACUGACCAUGAGCUGAGACCUAGGGGUCCAUGGGAACAGAUGAUGUGGCCUGAAAGGGCAACAGGCAUUCUUGCUCUGCCAGGCCAGAGCCACAACACUAUGCAGAGAUAACCAGGGCCACGCAGGAGACAAGAGCCAUACAAACACCUGAACUUCAGGGUCACCACAUUCCAGCUGCAAAGAGAUUCCCCGAGGAUCUCGUAUCCAUGCACUGUGUCGGUUCCUCUCAUGGGAGGAGAGGCAGUCAGUAGUCCAUGGCACCCUCCCACCCCUAAGGGAGAAGAAGGCAUCCUGGCCUGAUGGCGCAGGGCACAGAUAAAGAAGGAGCUGCUUGCUCUGCUGCUCGGCUUCUCCUCUCUCCCGGUGAGCUCCUCUUUUUCGGUAGAUCUUGCUCUGGGACCUCGAAACACCUC
rnacentral:lncRNA from 1 species